UACAGAGGAGCCAAGCGUUGUCCGGAUUGACUGGGCGUAAAGCGCACGCAGGCGGACGCGCGCGUGGGGUGUGAAAUCUGGCCGCUUAACGGCCAGGCGCCAUCCCAUACGGCGCGACUGGAGUGAUGCAGAGGUCGAUGGAAUUGCCGGUGUAGUGGUGAAAUGCGUAGAUAUCAGGAGGAACGCCGGUGGCGAAAGCGACUCUCUGGGCUGUUCCUGACACUGAUGCGCGAGAGCUAGGGGAGCAAACAGG
rnacentral:rRNA from 1 species